rnacentral:lncRNA from 1 species
AUAGCCCUUUUCCAAGUCUUCAUGAAGUCCGGUCACAUGAAUGAGAGCCCUUUCUUACGUUUUCCACUGAGGCAUUCUCUCCUACCCCUUCUCACAGUGACCAUAUAAGUGCAGAACCAGUGAUAGCUCCUGGAUCAUCAUUUCCAGUUGUGCUAUGAACUUACUCAAGCCCAAGUAAAGACACCGUCCCAGGUGGCCAGCUGGGUAACAUCAGCUUGAAGUGAAAUGACCAAGAACAAUAUUCUCUUUAGCUUCCUUAAUAUGUGUCAAGAUUUUCCCUAGAAUUCACAUUCCUGGGCUUCUGAACAAAGCACUGAAUUACCAGACUCAACUCCCCGGUGAGAACUGCAAAACCAAGCAACCUUUGAUAUAUUUUCCUUCCAAUAUUUAGAACAAAAUGAAAGAAAACAAAACCCUGAGAUGGGCAUUUCAGAAUGUGGGCUCCUAAAACCAGCACUUGAAAUACUUCCAGGAAUGCCAGCCAGAACAGAAAGACCACUGGCAGCAAUCUCCAAAGCACACUCAAAAGAUCCACAGGUGGCCAGAUGGUGCCAUGACACAGCCAAGGCUUCCCCAAGGGCCCCAGGAUGGAAGAAAAUACCAGGGCUCUGUCAGAGACAAGCCUGCAUCUGCCAGUGUAAAGAACCUUUCCUAGCCAAGUUAUGACAAUAGUCAUGGGAAUACGUUCCUGUCUUCCACUGCCUUUCCUCAGAUGUGCACCUAAUGUCCAAGAGGAGAUUUAUUGCAAAUGCCUUCACAGUCAUCAGGAUAGAGAAGGAGUACUCAGGGUCUGGGCUUUGCUUUUCUCUUAAGAGGAAACUCUGUUAGAAAUAAAAAGGUCUACAGGAUAUUGAUUUUUCUCUUUUUUUCUUUGAAAAAAAGACUUUUUCACAUUCUUUUAAUUUUAUGGACAUGAUGAUGCCAGAAG